UCAAAACCUUAAAAGUGACCUUUACAUGCUCAGUGUAGCCUGUGCAAAAAGUUUUCAUGUAAAAGUAAAUCUACCUUGGAGUUAGUCCCCAAACUAGUCAAAGACAUCCUCAUCCUCAUCAUUACCAAACUCCUCUGCCAGUCGUUUGAACUUGCAUUUUAUUGUAUGAAAAGGUCAAAAAUGGGGGAUAAGUGAAAUUUGUGACAUUUGCACUUUUUUCAGACCACGUGGCCUAAUGGAUAAGGCGUCUGACUUCGCAUCAGAAGAUUGAGGGUUCAAGUCCCUUCGUGGUUGAAACCCUGCCUUUAGUAGCAAAGAUAAUCCUUUCCCACUAUACAUUUAGGGUUCACCUUGACUCCCUACUCCAUCAAAAUGGGCUAUGACCAGCAAGACAUCCAGGCCGGUUAGCUCAGAUGGUCAGAGCGUGGUGCUAAUAACGCCAAGGUCAUGGGUUCAAUCCCCAUACUGGCCAAAGACUUCCUCAUCACAAUUUUAACUAAAGGACACUGAAAGAAAACACAAAGAACUAUCAGCAUAUCACAUCCUUAAAAGUGACCUUUACAUGCUCAGUGUAGCCUUUGCAAAAAGCUUUCAUGAAAAAGUAAAUCUACCUUGGAGUGAGUCCCCAUACUAGUCAAAGACAUCCUCAUCAUAAUCAUGACCAAACUCCUCUGACAGUCGUUUGAACUUGCAAUUUAUUGUAUGAAAAGGUCAAAAAUGGGGGGUAAGUGAAAUUUGUGUCAUUUGCACUUUUUUCAGACCACGUGGCCUAAUGGAUAAGGCGUCUGACUUCGGAUCAGAAGAUUGAGGGUUCAAGUCCCUUCGUGGUUGAAACCCUGCCUUUAGUAGCAAAGAUAAUCCUUUCCCACCAUACAUUUAGGGUUCACCUUGACUCCCUACUCCAUCAAAAUGGGCUAUGACCACCAAGACAUCCAGGCCGGUUAGCUCAGAUGGUCAUAGUGUGGUGCUAAUAACACCAAGGUCAUGGGUUCAAUCCCCAUGCUGCCCAAAGAGUUCCCCAUCACAAUUGUAACCAAAGGGUACACAAAGAAAUAUCAGCAUUUCAACUCCUUCAAAGCAUUCUUUUUGUGCUCGGUGUACUCUGGGCAACUUUGAACUUAAAAGUAAAUCUACCUUGGAGUGAGUCCCCAUACUAGUCAAAGACAUCCUCAUCAUAAUCAUGUCCAACCUCCUCUGACAGUCGUUUGAACUUGAAAUGUAUUAUAUGAAAAGGUCAAAAAUAGGGUGGAAGUGAAAUUUGUAACAUUUGCACUUUUUUCAGACCACGUGGCCUAAUGGACAACGCAUAUGACAAGGUGCCCUCCCUUUCAAAGCAAUAAAACAACUACUAUACAUUUAGGGUUUCCCUUGACUCCCUACUCCAGCUAAAUGGGCUAUGAGCGCAAAGACAUCCAGCUGUACUUGAGCUAAACCUUUGAAACAAAACCCUUUCUAUUUAUUUUUGGGGAACAUUAAUGAGCACAACUGUAUCUUUUAAGUCCAAGCUGAAAACAUGGGUUUUGGAUGUUACAGCCACUCCCCCUUUUCAAAUAUUAAGUUGUAGCCACGUUAUGUCGCCAUGACUCAGGACAUCUGCUCCAGAAACUGAGGCUGCCAACAUGGCGACAACAAAUUAUCUUGUCCUCCAUAAUGUGUGUGCGGUGUCAGGUCAGGGGGAAAACAACAGAAGAGCAUACAGAUUUACAGAGACACAUUGAUUGAAUGACAGAGGGUGCAUGCACAGUUGAGAAGUAUUAAGUCAACCUAGAAUCCUAUUUGACCCCUACAGACCACUACAUGUAGCAGAGGAGUCAUCAGGACCUUCUAUUUUCCCUGCCCCAUUCAAAAGCAGACAGGUUUGCAUGGAGCUUGAACCAGGCAGCUGUAAACAAAAGUCAUGGCUGCUGCUAUUGGCAAAGUUGUAAAUAUUCCAUGUAUCAUGUCUAGUGUUGCACUUAAAUGUGCAACACUGUAGGUUCAUUGUACAGGCUCAUUUUGAUAACUGAGCAGCUAAAUGUACAAUUCAUGAACUAGAAUGUGAAUGUAACUCAUUCUGAAGACAGUGAGCGGCAGAUCAUAUCCCACCUUUCAUAUCUAUACUCAGAUGUUUUAAAUAAUCCUGGUCAGAUUAUCUAUUCUGGAUAUUUCAGUAAGUAUGUUGAACAAACCAGGACAGAUACCAUCUGGCUGAAACCUCACUUUGGUGAGGUGUAGCUUUUUAAAGACAGGUGAAUAAUGCUCUUUUACUGUUUGUUUUUCUUCUCUACCUGUUUAAGGAGAUGUCUACAUCAUUUCACCCACCUUGUUUUUUACAAGCAGAUUUUAACAUAUGUCAACAUAGCACUAAAGGUGUUAUAAUUUACUGAAUGACACUCAUUGGCAACAUGCAUAGAGUCUUAUUUAUGUUAAUGACAGGUGUCAUGUUAUGAUUAUGACAGUGUAAUGUCAGUCUUAUGUAAACCCCUUCAAUUCAAGUGUUAAACUUAUUUGAAGUAUCAAAACUCCAGACAUUACUAUAAGGUCAGCACAGCUCCAGAGUCAUAUUAACAAAAAGGAUGUGGACACUUCUUGCCAAUGCUUUCACUGAGUGAUAAGAGAGGUGCAGUACGUGUGUUUUUGUUUUUUGUGAAUGAUUUUGUAUGUAAUGCAUGUUUUUAUGGUGAUUUAAUGUCUAAGCAGCUGACACUCAGGCCCACUGUAGUUGCCACUGUGUGUUUAAAUCUUUGCAGUAAAACAACAUUUUCUCUGCGUGUGUAUCAAUGUAAUUUGUACGAACUACAGCCUCCUCCCCUCUGCACCAGAUAAUCUCACAGAGAUACUCAAAGCCAAGCGGGAGCUGCACAACAGUUGCAGAGGAAGAUAAGUAUCUGAGCCAAGAAUCCGGAUGGUGAGGGUGUGUUUGUGCUGUCUGAUGCCUGUGAGCCUGCCACUCUCUCUGGCACAGCUGUGGUUAUUUCUCCUCCUCUCCUGUUCUCACCGUCCACUGCCAACAACAAGCCUUGUUUCAAUCCUUAUAAAGUCACAGAGAGAUCGUACUGGCAGCCGUCUGUCAGCGCUGUUCAAGGCACAGUUUUGUGGUCACGCUUUACGCUGCCAGGACACAAUCUCAUACAUAUAAAACGAGGAGAUUGAAGUGCUGUUUUAAUAAAUCCACUUCAAAUAAAAGUGCUCCUGACUGUAGUGUGGAUACUGUCUGUUUGAAACUGCCAGCUUUUUCAGAUCUGAUUGAAAUGACUGUGUGUUCUGUCUGUGCCGCUGGUACGUCUUUAAUAGGAUCAUAACUUUAAUUUAGCGACCUGAGUUUUCUUUUCUUUUAUUUGUUUGCAUGAGUCAGCUGCCAUUAAGAUAUUUAACAGUUUCUUUUGGCAUUUUAAGAGUUUCUAAUAACAUUUUUUUAAUCUGAUACUGAAUCCAAUCCCGGACUCAUGUUUUGGCUGAGACUCAGCACCCGUACUAUGAAGUAGUUUGAUUAAAUAUUUUCUGUUGAUGAUCUUCACACAAAAACUAUUUUUUUUGUUGUUGUUAUUAUUAUUUAUUUACUUAUUUAAUUUUUUUUUUUUUUUUUUUUUGGGGGGGGGGGGGCAUACAAAGCAGCACAUCCGAGUAAAAAUGAUAGAAAUGACUUUUUGAUAUUUCUUUACAUUUUGGAUACUACAGUAACUGGGAGUACGGAACAUAGCUCAAUCCUGUGAAAAAAUAGGUAAGUGCUGAUAUUCAUUACUAUCAAAAAUAAACAACCAGAUAACUCAACAGUUACAACAAUUACAAAAACUCUAUUUUUGAACACAGUUUGAUAGUAUUUGGCUAAAGUAUGAGAAUUUGGACUGAAAAGAAUAUUCCGGCAUAAGUUUAAGCCAUGGUCAAGCACUGAGUUGGACCCCCCUCGAGAGAUGAAUUUAGCCAUCUGCUUGCUUCUCUGGUUACACCAACUUCAGCAAUGACGAUGAUAGCAAUACACUCCAGUCUAUGUCUCCAUGUGCAAACCUCAACCAAAAA